rnacentral:rRNA from 1 species
ACCACUUUGUGAUUCAUGACUGGGGUGAAGUCGUAACAAGGUAACCGUAGGGGAACCUGCGGUUGUGUCACCUUCUUACCUUAAAGAAGC